rnacentral:tRNA from 1 species
GUGCUGCCGGCCGCCGACGGCCACGACGUUCGCGUCGUUGUGCUGGCGGGCCAGCCGCGCCGUGUCCAGGUUCCAGGCCAGGGCGGCGCG